rnacentral:tRNA from 1 species
GCCGCAGUAGCUCAGCCUGGGAGAGCACUCGAGGUAUGACCGAGGGAUCGUUGGUUCAAAUCCGACCUGCGGCA